CACUCAUGUUGUAGGCUGCAGUGUGGUUAUAUCGUCCAGGAAGCUUGAUCGUCUGGAGUCAGCAGCUGAAGAGCUGACGCAGAAAAUCCCCUCAUCCAGUCCAGCUAAAGUAACUCCUAUACAGUGCAACAUCCGAAAUGAAGAAGAGGUAAAGAACCUGAUGGCCUCCACUCUGAAGCUUCAUGGGAGGAUUGACUUUUUGGUGAAUAAUGGAGGUGGGCAGUUUUCCAGCCCAGUGAACAUGAUGAGUGCAAAAGGCUGGAAAGCUGUGAUUGACACCAACCUCAAUGGAACGUUCUUAUGCUGCAGAGAAGCAUACAAUGCAUGGAUGAAAGAUCAUGGAGGUGUAAUUAUAAACAUCAUUGCA